rnacentral:rRNA from 1 species
ACCUCGGAUCAGGUAGGAAUACCCGCUGAACUUAAGCAUAUCAAUAAGCGGAGGAAAAGAAACCAACAGGGAUUGCCCUAGUAACGGCGAGUGAAGCGGCAACAGCUCAAAUUUGAAAUCUGGCCCUCGGGUCCGAAUUGUAAUUUGUAGAGGAUGCUUUUGGUGAGGUACCUUCCGAGUUCCCUGGAACGGGACGCCAUAGAGGGUGAGAGCCCCGUCUGGUUGGAUACCGAUCCUCUGUAAAGCUCCUUCGACGAGUCGAGUAGUUUGGGAAUGCUGCUCUAAAUGGGAGGUAUAUGUCUUCUAAAGCUAAAUAUUGGCCAGAGACCGAUAGCGCACAAGUAGAGUGAUCGAAAGAUGAAAAGCACUUUGAAAAGAGAGUUAAAAAGUACGUGAAAUUGUUGAAAGGGAAGCGCUCAUGACCAGACUUGGGCUUGGUUGAUCAUCCAGGGUUCUCCCUGGUGCACUCUUCCAGCCCAGGCCAGCAUCAGUUCGCUGUGGGGGAUAAAGGCUUUGGGAAUGUGGCUCCUCCGGGAGUGUUAUAGCCCAUUGUGUAAUACCCUGUGG